GAUUUUCAAAAAUUAUUGGGAGACAUUCAGUAGGUUUGACUUUAUUUGUCUUUAACCAAUAAACAAUUGCAACCACUAUAUGACCUUUUGCCAGGCGAUACUGACUUGAAUUCUCCCAGAUAUCUUAGUGACGCUGCCAGAGCAGCUUUGAAUUUGGUGGAGCAGGGUAUUCAAGUUGCUGCCUUGAAAUGCCGAGAUGAGUCACAGCCUAUUGUGCUGUGUAUCUUGCCAACAGAAGCACAGCCAAUGGGGGUCUUAUGGCAGGGAGCUCCCUUGCUCUGGAUACAUCCAAAGAUAUCCCCAGCCAAAACACUUGUUCAUUAUCCCACCUCAGUGGCUCAGUUAGCCUUGCUUGGCAUUCAGCAAUGUAUACAGUACUUUGGCAUCCCACCAAAGGAUUCGAUAGUUCCCUAUAAUGUAAAGCAGCUGGAAGUGUUGUCAGCCUCAAUAAACGAUUGGGCUAUUGUGAGGUGCAGUUUUCAGGGC
rnacentral:lncRNA from 1 species